GAGGCCCUCAGCAGGAUCACCUCGGUCGUCCAGCAGCACCAGGAGGCCUUGGUCCCCGCGCAGCCCCAGCUCAACGUGUGCAACUGGGCGGUCAUGAACUGGGCACCUCCGGGCUGUGAAAAGUUAGGGAAGUGUCUGACACCUCCAGAAUCCAUUCCCAAGAAGUGCCUCUGGUCCCACUAGCACCUGCGCAGACUCAGGCCAGGCCUAGAAUCUCCGGUUGGCCCUGCAAGUGCCUGGAGGAAGGAUGGCUCUGGCCUCGGUCCUCCCCCAACCCUGCCCAAGCCAGACAGACAGCACCUGCAGACGCAGGGGGACUGCACAAUUCCACCUGCCCAGGACCUGACCCUGGCGUGUGCUUGGCCCUCCUCCUCGCCCACGGCGCCUCAGAUUUCAGGACCCUCCUCCUCGCCCACGGCGCCUCAGACCUCAGGACCCUGCCGUCUCACGCCUUUGUGAACCCCAAAUAUCUGAGACCAGUCUCAGUUUAUUUUGCCAAGGUUAAGGAUGCACCUGUGACAGCCUCAGGAGGUCCUGACAACAGGUGCCUGAGGUGGCUGGGGAUACAGUUUGCCUUUAUACAUCUUAGGGAGACACAAGAUCAGUAUGUGUAUGGCGUACAUUGGUUCAGUCAGCCUUCCACUGAAUACACGAUUGAGUCUGGCCCAGUGAAUCCGCAUUUUUAUGUAAACAGUAAGGGAACGGGGCAAUCAUAUAAGCGUUUGUCUCAGGGGAGCCCCAGAGGGAUGACUUCCAGUUCCGUCUGUCCUUUGUCCACAAGGAAUUUCCCUGGACGCUAAUUAUGAGGGAGGCGUGUAGCUUCUUAUCAUUGUAACUAUGUUAUUUAGAAAUAAAACGGGAGGCAGGUUUGCCUAAUUCCCAGCU
rnacentral:lncRNA from 1 species